GUUUGUUCUUUGAUGUUUGUACACAUUAAACCAAAACACAAACCGGAUAGAUCAUUUAUCUCCUGUUUCAAGUCAGCUCAUGUUUGACUUGCGUGGAUUACUCACAAACGUUAAUAAGCAACGAAACGGCAAGCCUACCCCCACGUGGCACAGUGGGAAUAGACCUACCUAGUAAAAUGCCGUUUGGGUAUGUUCACCUACGCACGCCCACUAUAACGCAUUUAGCCUAGUGAAUCAGAUUCGCUAGUAUGCGGUUGGUUUGAUGUCAGGAUAAACAUGUUUUCAACACAUGUACACAAAUGCCAAGUUACUCACACAUUCAAAGCAGUUCGCUGGAGUCAAGUUCUUUCAGUUCUGCGACGAGAAGAGAACGGUGUGAACAACGGAACUUUUUAAAGCGAAAUUGGUGGAGAUGCAUAUAUCCAUCUGGAAAGCUGAUCUCCGCCAUAUGAAAGAAUGCAACACGUGCUGCCAGCGUUUAUUCCACUGCCCACUGUGCCCAACCUUCAAACCAUCGAAGAAGGCAAAUAUUCAGAGGCAUGUGGGAGCCCAUGCAAAAAAUGCAGUGCAUUUCAAAGACAAAUACAUCUGCCGAUGCAGGUUGCCAUGCAGGACUGAGGCUCAUUAUCACUGCCCUUUAUGUGAGAAGACCCAUAUACUUCAAUAUUUCAAGAGACAUUACAAAGACUUCACAUUUAAUGUGUGUGUGUGGAUGAAACAAAUGGCAUAUUUGAAGUUUGAAGAAGUGGUCAUUAACAUUAGGCUAUUUACUUUUCAGGUGGGUAAUGGCUACUUUUGAGCUGAUAGAGAAAAUCGCUCAGUCAAAGGGGAAGAGCAUUUACAUUGUGGAUUUGUAUGUCACCCCAACUUGGCUACCUCCAAGCAACUGUGAUCCAGUGAUAAGCCUUCCUAGCGAUGCUCAGUGGAAGGAUGCACUUCUCUUCCCUCUGUGGACACCUGGGCACUUCCAGUUGUGUGGAUCUUGCUAAGAGUAUAAGCCCAGGGGACUGGUUGGAACAAACUGGCUUUGACUUGGAGGGGUUUCCAACUCAAGACUUUGGAUGUGACUGUGGAAUCUUCAUGUUGAUGUUUGAUGUGCCCCCUCUUUACGAAAAUGGUGGUGCCUCCUUCUAAUGGAGAACUUUCAACUGGACAGUGCUCAGAAGACACAGGGAAGAGGCUGCCGUAUCCAGACGUGCAGACCAUUGAAUGGGUGCAAUGCUGCAAAUGUAAAGGGUGGCGCCACACAGACUGUGCUGGUCUAUCCCAUCCUCAUUUGAGGGCUGAGACAUUCUGUUGUGGAUGUGAUGCUAGCAACACCUGCAAUAGAACAAUUGAAUUGCUGGACGUGCAUGGCGUCCAGGGUCUGUUAUCCACAGAUGAAAUAAAGGUAAUGCUAUUGCCCCUGGAACAAUGGAUUAAUAUUCUCUGACCCUGGUUACCUCUAUACAACCGUGUCAUGGACAUAGACCACCCUACCAAUUUCUGACUAUUUCUUUUUGCACUGUCAAGUCUGUAUAGUCUCUGUCCAAUGCAUGUCUUGUAUCCCCUAUACUGUAUGUAAUGUACAAUGAUUGAAGAAUGAACUGUUAAACUUGUAUUGGCAUGCCAAUUUUUGUUCGUCAGUCGUUCUGAUUGCUUCGUUUUGCUCAAAAAGUUCUACUUCGUACGAAGUAUACUGCCUACUUUACUGCAUGUAUGAGAGAGCUUUCUGGAUCUAGGGCUCUCUUACAAAGCGGCGCCAAGCGCAACGGAAGUGUCUUUGCUAGUUUCAGACCGACGCAGUUGUCAUUUUCCCGUCCAGGCGCCCACGUUGUUUAAAUAGCAAAUGUACUUGCGCCCAUGGGCGUGUUGGUCUUAAAAUGAGGUGUGGUCAGGCGCAUUGCGGAAAGCGAUUGCGGGAUUGACCAGCAAAAACCUGGUUAUAAGUCAAUGGCGCAGUAUUUUACUGUUAUUUUAAGGGCACAUUAUUAAGAUAGUAAUA